UACAGAGGAGCCAAGCGUUGUCCGGAUUGACUGGGCGUAAAGCGCACGCAGGCGGUCGGGCGCGUGGGGUGUGAAAUCUGGCCGCUUAACGGCCAGGCGCCAUCCCAUACGGCUCGACUGGAGUGAUGCAGAGGUCGAUGGAAUUGCCGGUGUAGUGGUGAAAUGCGUAGAGAUCGGCAGGAACACCCAGGGGGAAACCAGUGGACUGGCACGGUGCUGACGCUCAGGUGCGAAAGCGUGGGGAGCGAACCGG
rnacentral:rRNA from 1 species